CUCAUGCUUUUAUGUCCAUUCUGCUCCUAAUGUGACCGAGGAGAAAAGUCUUGGUGAGCAGGGAGCUCCCCAAACCAGCUAUGGCUAGCAACGUUCUAAUUCUGCUGAGGCACUGUGAAGUCAGGUAGGCCAAGUACUUAUUUUCAGCAAUACCCUUUCUGCACAGGAU
rnacentral:lncRNA from 1 species